rnacentral:rRNA from 1 species
GGGAGCAAACAGGCUUAGAUACCCUGGUAGUCCACCCCGUAAACGUUGGGAACUAGUUGUGGGGGCCUUUCCACGGUCUCCGUGACGCAGCUAACGCAUUAAGUUCCCCGCCUGGGGAGUACGGCCGCAAGGCUAAAACUCAAAGGAAUUGACGGGGACCCGCACAAGCGGCGGAGCAUGCGGAUUAAUUCGAUGCAACGCGAAGAACCUUACCAAGGCUUGACAUACACCGGAAACGUCCAGAGAUGGUCGCCCCUUUUUGGUCGGUGUACAGGUGGUGCAUGGUUGUCGUCAGCUCGUGUCGUGAGAUGUUGGGUUAAGUCCCGCAACGAGCGCAACCCUCGUUCUAUGUUGCCAGCACGUUAUGGUGGGAACUCAUGGGAUACUGCCGGGGUCAACUCGGAGGAAGGUGGGGAUGACGUCAAAUCAUCAUGCCCCUUAUGUCUUGGGCUUCACGCAUGCUACAAUGGCCGGUACAAUGGGCUGCGAUACCGUGAGGUGGAGCGAAUCCCAAAAAGCCGGUCCCAGUUCGGAUCGUAGUCUGCAACUCGACUACGUGAAGUCGGAGUCGCUAGUAAUCGCAGAUCAGCAACGCUGCGGUGAAUACGUUCCCGGGUCUUGUACACAC